UUGGACAGCUCUGCUACCCUGGACACACCCAAACAUGUCUGAUCUUGGGAGUUUAUCAUGGUUUGGUCUGGUUAAUCCCUGGUUGGGAUCAUUGAUUGUAUAUGAGAACUGGACUGAUCAAC
rnacentral:rRNA from 1 species